GAAACACGGACCAAGGAGUCUGACA
rnacentral:ncRNA from 2 species